AUUGAACGCUGGCGGCAUGCCUUACACAUGCAAGUCGAACGGUAACAGGUCUUCGGAUGCUGACGAGUGGCGAACGGGUGAGUAAUACAUCGGAACGUGCCUAGUAGUGGGGGAUAACUACUCGAAAGAGUGGCUAAUACCGCAUGAGAUCUACGGAUGAAAGCAGGGGAUCGCAAGACCUUGUGCUACUAGAGCGGCCGAUGGCAGAUUAGGUAGUUGGUGGGAUAAAAGCUUACCAAGCCGACGAUCUGUAGCAGGUCUGAGAGGACGAUCACCCACACUGGGAGUGAGAAACGGCCCAGAAUCCUACGGGAGGCAGCAGUGGGGAAUUUUGGACAAUAGGCGAAAGCAUGAUACAGCAAUGCCGCGUGCAGGAUGAAGGCCUUCAGGUUGUAAACUGCUUUUGUACGGAACGAAAAGCCCCGGGUUAAUACCCUGGGGUCAUGACGGUACCGUAAGAAUAAGCACCGGCUAACUACGUGCCAGCCGCCGCAGUAA
rnacentral:rRNA from 1 species